ACGCGUUGGGAGCUCUCCCAUAUGGUCGACCUGCAGGCGGCCGCGAAUUCACUAGUGAUUGGAAACAGGUGCUAAUACCGUAUAACAAUGACAACCGCAUGGUUGUUAUUUAAAAGAUGGUUCUGCUAUCACUAAGAGAUGGUCCCGCGGUGCAUUAGCUAGUUGGUAAGGUAAUGGCUUACCAAGGCGAUGAUGCAUAGCCGAGUUGAGAGACUGAUCGGCCACAAUGGGACUGAGACACGGCCCAUACUCCUACGGGAGGCAGCAGUAGGGAAUCUUCCACAAUGGGCGAAAGCCUGAUGGAGCAACGCCGCGUGUGUGAUGAAGGGUUUCGGCUCGUAAAACACUGUUGUAAGAGAAGAAUGACAUUGAGAGUAACUGUUCAAUGUGUGACGGUAUCUUACCAGAAAGGAACGGCUAAAUACGUGCCAGCAGCCGCGGUAAUACGAUAAUCGAAUUCCCGCGGCCGCCAUG
rnacentral:rRNA from 1 species